GGACUUACAGGUGUGUCUGGUGCUCCAAAUCCAUCCUGUAAUUUCAGAUGUAAUUUUGAGAAGCCAGAGACACACCCUGGUUUGCUCAGUGAAAAGCAGCCCUCUACGAUCAGAGAGCUGCACAGUGAGGACCCAGUGACUGGUGGCUGGGAGGUGAUUGUCACAUUUACCAUCCGAGCAGGUUGUGGAAGCUGCUGUCUUCCUCUGCAGAGCGGAGCCCACCAACUUCAGGGCACUGAUAGCAGUGAUUCCUUGUGGGCACAGGCACUCUGACGACCACUGCAGAAAUGCCACCUUUGCAACUUGGCUUCUUCCUUGUGCUCAGUUGGCUGGCAGCUGAUGCAGCUCCUGCUGGGACAUAUCUGGUAAGGCAAGCACUGAGUUUGAAAUAUGUCUUUGCUUGCAAAGCAUGUCUGGGUUAGUGGUCAGUGUGAUUCCUCCUGGUAGCAGCGCAAUGAUGAAAACCAGUUGCCA
rnacentral:lncRNA from 1 species